rnacentral:misc_RNA from 1 species
UCUCCGUUGGAGAACCAGCGGAGGGAUCAUUACCAGAGUUUUACAACUCCCAACUCUUCUGUGAACCUACCUAUCGUUGCUUCGGCGGACUCGCCCCAGCGUCCGGACGGCCCCGCGCCGGCCCGCGACCUGGACCCAGGCGGCCGCCGGAGGCACACAAUCCUGUAUCCAUCGGUCUCUCUGAAUCCGCCGCAAGGCAAAACAAACGAAUCAAAACUUUCAACAAUGGAUCUCUUGGUUCUG